rnacentral:rRNA from 1 species
AGCGAACGCUGGCGGCAGGCUUAACACAUGCAAGUCGAGCGGGCACUCUCGGGUGUCCGCGGCGGACGGGUGGGUAACGCGUGGGAACGUGCCCUCUGGUUCGGAAUAACUCAGGGAAACUUGAGCUAAUACCGGAUACGCCCUUUUGGGGAAAGGCUUGCUGCCGGAGGAUCGGCCCGCGUCUGAUUAGCUAGUUGGUGAGGUAACGGCUCACCAAGGCGAGGAUCAGUAGCUGGUCUGAGAGGAUGAGCAGCCACACUGGGGCUGGGACACGGCCCAGACUCCUACGGGAGGCAGCAGUGGGGAAUAGUGGACAAUGGGCGCAAGCCUGAUCCAGCCAUGCCGGGUGAGUGAUCAAGGCCGUAGGGUUGUAAAGCUCUUUUAUCCGGGACGAUAAUGACGGUACCGGAGGAAUAAGCCCCGGCUAACUUCGUG